UACGGAGGGUGCAAGCGUUAUCCGGAUUCACUGGGUUUAAAGGGUGCGUAGGCGGCGCGGUAAGUCGGGUGUGAAAUCUUGGAGCUUAACUCCGAAACUGCAUUCGAUACUGCCGUGCUUGAGGACUGGAGAGGAGACUGGAAUUUACGGUGUAGCGGUGAAAUGCGUAGAUAUCGUAAGGAAGACCAGUGGCGAAGGCGGGUCUCUGGACAGUUCCUGACGCUGAGACACGAAGGCCAGGGGAGCAAACGGG
rnacentral:rRNA from 1 species